GACGAACGCUGGCGGCGUGCUUAACACAUGCAAGUCGAACGGAAAGGCCCUGCUUUUGUGGGGUGCUCGAGUGGCGAACGGGUGAGUAACACGUGAGUAACCUGCCCUUGACUUUGGGAUAACUUCAGGAAACUGGGGCUAAUACCGGAUAGGAGCUCCUGCUGCAUGGUGGGGGUUGGAAAGUUUCGGCGGUUGGGGAUGGACUCGCGGCUUAUCAGCUUGUUGGUGGGGUAGUGGCUUACCAAGGCUUUGACGGGUAGCCGGCCUGAGAGGGUGACCGGCCACAUUGGGACUGAGAUACGGCCCAGACUCCUACGGGAGGCAGCAGUGGGGAAUAUUGCACAAUGGGCGGAAGCCUGAUGCAGCAACGCCGCGUGCGGGAUGACGGCCUUCGGGUUGUAAACCGCUUUCGCCUGUGACGAAGCGUGAGUGUCGGUAAUGGGAAAAGAAGCACCGGCUAACUACGUG
rnacentral:rRNA from 1 species